rnacentral:rRNA from 1 species
AGAGUUUGAUCCUGGCUCAGGAUGAACGCUAGCGGAGGCCUAACACAUGCAAGCCGAGCGGUAGAGUCUCUUCGGGGACUUGAGAGCGGCGUACGGGUGCGGAACACGUGUGCAACCUGCCUUUAUCAGGGGAUAGCCUUUCGAAAGGAAGAUUAAUACCCCAUAAUAUAAUGAACGGCAUCGUUUUUUAUUGAAAACUCCGGUGGAUAGAGAUGGGCACGCGCAAGAUUAGAUAGUUGGUGAGGUAACGGCUCACCAAGUCAGUGAUCUUUAGGGGGCCUGAGAGGGUGAUCCCCCACACUGGUACUGAGACACGGACCAGACUCCUACGGGAGGCAGCAGUGAGGAAUAUUGGACAAUGGGUGAGAGCCUGAUCCAGCCAUCCCGCGUGAAGGACGACUGCCCUAUGGGUUGUAAACUUCUUUUGUACAGGGAUAAACCUAGAUACGUGUAUCUAGCUGAAGGUACUGUACGAAUAAGCACCGGCUAACUCCGUG